rnacentral:rRNA from 1 species
UACGUAGGGUGCGAGCGUUAAUCGGAAUUACUGGGCGUAAAGCGUGCGCAGGCGGUGAUGUAAGACAGAUGUGAAAUCCCCGGGCUCAACCUGGGACCUGCAUUUGUGACUGCAUCGCUAGAGUACGGUAGAGGGGGAUGGAAUUCCGCGUGUAGCAGUGAAAUGCGUAGAUAUGCGGAGGAACACCGAUGGCGAAGGCAAUCCCCUGGGCCUGCACUGACGCUCAUGCACGAAAGCGUGGGGAGCAAACAGG